AUCCAAGGUGAUUUCCUCUCUAAGUGGCCAGCUAGUUAGAGCCUCUCAGAAAAGUAGCAACUUGGAAGAAAAUAUAGUAUGCCUAAAGUUUUUGGGGGGACAAAGGGG